rnacentral:snRNA from 1 species
GGAUGUGAGGGUGAUCUGGCUGCAACAUCUGUCACUCCACUGAUCACCAGGAUUAAUUUGACUGAUCUGGCUAGCUAGGCAGGUAUCUCUUUCCUCCCUCACUACUCCAUGUGUGUCCCUCUUGAAAGCGCCUUCAAAGGGCAUGACUUUCCCUAGUAGGGAAGGACUGUUCUUUAGUCAAGGCAUACAAGGGUAUACAAGUAGUCUGCCCCUGCUUGAAUCUUCAAACAAGCUCUCUUUAUACAGACAAAAAAAUAUUAACAGGGGGCUAGAGAGAUGGUUCAGCAGUUAAGAGCACUUGUUGCUCUUCUAG